GGUUGGUCUGAGUGCAGUGAUGUUUACAACUAAUUGAUCACAACCAGUUACAGAUUCCUGUGUUCUUCCUCCACUACUUCACUUGACCAGCCUAAA
rnacentral:Y_RNA from 1 species